rnacentral:rRNA from 1 species
GUGCCAGAGCCGCGGUAAUACAGAGGGUGCGAGCGUUAAUCGGAUUUACUGGGCGUAAAGCGUGCGUAGGCGGCUUUUUAAGUCGGAUGUGAAAUCCCUGAGCUUAACUUAGGAAUUGCAUUCGAUACUGGGAAGCUAGAGUAUGGGAGAGGAUGGUAGAAUUCCAGGUGUAGCGGUGAAAUGCGUAGAGAUCUGGAGGAAUACCGAUGGCGAAGGCAGCCAUCUGGCCUAAUACUGACGCUGAGGUACGAAAGCAUGGGGAGCAAACAGG